rnacentral:rRNA from 1 species
GACGAACGCUGGCGGCACGCCUAACACAUGCAAGUCGAACGGAACUGUUAAGGAAGAUUUCUUCGGAAUGAUUUCUUUUCGGUUUAGUGGCGGACGGGUGAGUAACGCGUGAGGAACCUGCCUUCCAGAGGGGGAUAACGUUUGGAAACGAACGCUAAUACCGCAUACCUUAUAAAGAUCGCAUGAUCUUUAUAAGAAAGGAGCAAUCCGCUGGAAGAUGGCCUCGCGUCCAAUUAGCUAGUUGGUGAGGUAACGGCCCACCAAGGCGACGAUUGGUAGCCGGACUGAGAGGUUGAACGGCCACAUUGGGACUGAGACACGGCCCAGACUCCUACGGGAGGCAGCAGUGGGGAAUAUUGCACAAUGGGGGAAACCCUGAUGCAGCGAUGCCGCGUGAGGGAAGAAGGUUUUCGGAUUGUAAACCUCUGUUUUAAGUGAAGAUAAUGACGGUAGCUUAAGAGGAAGCCACGGCUAACUACGUGCCAGCAGCCGCGGUAAUACGUAGGUGGCAAGCGUUGUCCGGAAUUACUGGGUGUAAAGGGAGCGUAGGCGGGGAUGCAAGUUGAAUGUCAAAGCCAGGGGCUCAACCCCUGAUCGCGUUCAAAACUGUAUCUCUUGAGUGAAGUAGAGGCAGGCGGAAUUCCUAGUGUAGCGGUGAAAUGCGUAAAUAUUAGGAGGAACACCAGUGGCGAAGGCGGCCUGCUGGGCUUUAUCUGACGCUGAGGCUCGAAAGCGUGGGUAGCAAACAGGAUUAGAUACCCUGGUAGUCCACGCCGUAAACGAUGAUUACUAGGUGUGGGGGGACUGACCCCUUCCGUGCCGGAGUAAACACAAUAAGUAAUCCACCUGGGGAGUACGACCGCAAGGUUGAAACUCAAAGGAAUUGACGGGGGCCCGCACAAGCAGUGGAGUAUGUGGUUUAAUUCGAAGCAACGCGAAGAACCUUACCAGGUCUUGACAUCCUUUGCAUAACCUAGAGAUAGGUGGAAUCCUACGGGACAAAGUGACAGGUGGUGCAUGGUUGUCGUCAGCUCGUGUCGUGAGAUGUUGGGUUAAGUCCCGCAACGAGCGCAACCCUUAUGUUUAGUUGCUACGCAAGAGCACUCUAGACAGACUGCCGUUGACAAAACGGAGGAAGGUGGGGAUGACGUCAAAUCAUCAUGCCCCUUAUGACCUGGGCUACACACGUACUACAAUGGCUGUAAACAAAGGGAAGCGACGUCGCGAGGCGAAGCAAAACCCAAAACACAGUCCCAGUUCGGAUUGCAGGCUGCAACCCGCCUGCAUGAAGCCGGAAUUGCUAGUAAUCGUAGGUCAGCAUACUACGGUGAAUACGUUCCCGGGCCUUGUACU